rnacentral:tRNA from 1 species
GCCAGUGUGGCGUAGUGGUUUGAAUGUUGGCCUGUGACUCUGGAGACCAGGGUUCGAUUCCUAGCUUGGCU